rnacentral:rRNA from 1 species
AGAGUUUGAUCCUGGCUCAGGAUGAACGCUAGCUACAGGCUUAACACAUGCAAGUCGAGGGGCAGCGGGAUUGAAGCUUGCUUCAAUUGCCGGCGACCGGCGCACGGGUGAGUAACACGUAUCCAACCUUCCGUUUACUCGGGGAUAGCCUUUCGAAAGAAAGAUUAAUACCCGAUAGUAUGGUGAGAUUGCAUGAUAGCACCAUUAAAGAUUCAUCGGUAAACGAUGGGGAUGCGUUCCAUUAGGUAGUAGGCGGGGUAACGGCCCACCUAGCCUGCGAUGGAUAGGGGUUCUGAGAGGAAGGUCCCCCACAUUGGAACUGAGACACGGUCCAAACUCCUACGGGAGGCAGCAGUGAGGAAUAUUGGUCAAUGGGCGAGAGCCUGAACCAGCCAAGUAGCGUGAAGGAUGAAGGUCCUACGGAUUGUAAACUUCUUUUAUAAGGGAAUAAAACGCUCCACGUGUGGAGCCUUGUAUGUACCUUAUGAAUAAGCAUCGGCUAACUCCGUGCCAGCAGCCGCGGUAAUACGGAGGAUGCGAGCGUUAUCCGGAUUUAUUGGGUUUAAAGGGAGCGCAGACGGGAUGUUAAGUCAGCUGUGAAAGUUUGCGGCUCAACCGUAAAAUUGCAGUUGAUACUGGCGUUCUUGAGUGCAGUUGAGGUGUGCGGAAUUCGUGGUGUAGCGGUGAAAUGCUUAGAUAUCACGAAGAACUCCGAUUGCGAAGGCAGCUCACUAAACUGUAACUGACGUUCAUGCUCGAAAGUGUGGGUAUCAAACAGGAUUAGAUACCCUGGUAGUCCACACGGUAAACGAUGGAUACUCGCUGUUGGCGAUAUACGGUCAGCGGCCAAGCGAAAGCGUUAAGUAUCCCACCUGGGGAGUACGCCGGCAACGGUGAAACUCAAAGGAAUUGACGGGGGCCCG